rnacentral:rRNA from 1 species
AGAGUUUGAUCCUGGCUCAGAUUGAACGCUGGCGGCAGGCCUAACACAUGCAAGUCGAGCGGAUGAAGGGAGCUUGCUCCUGGAUUCAGCGGCGGACGGGUGAGUAAUGCCUAGGAAUCUGCCUGGUAGUGGGGGAUAACGUCCGGAAACGGGCGCUAAUACCGCAUACGUCCUGAGGGAGAAAGUGGGGGAUCUUCGGACCUCACGCUAUCAGAUGAGCCUAGGUCGGAUUAGCUAGUUGGUGGGGUAAAGGCCUACCAAGGCGGCGAUCCGUAACUGGUCUGAGAGGAUGAUCAGUCACACUGGAACUGAGACACGGUCCAGACUCCUACGGGAGGCAGCAGUGGGGAAUAUUGGACAAUGGGCGAAAGCCUGAUCCAGCCAUGGCCGCGUGUGUGAAGAAGGUCUUCGGAUUGUAAAGCACUUUAAGUUGGGAGGAAGGGCAGUAAGUUAAUACCUUGCUGUUUUGACGUUACCAACAGAAUAAGCACCGGCUAACUUCGUGCCAGCAGCCGCGGUAAUACGAAGGGUGCAAGCGUUAAUCGGAAUUACUGGGCGUAAAGCGCGCGUAGGUGGUUCAGCAAGUUGGAUGUGAAAUCCCCGGGCUCAACCUGGGAACUGCAUCCAAAACUACUGAGCUAGAGUACGGUAGAGGGUGGUGGAAUUUCCUGUGUAGCGGUGAAAUGCGUAGAUAUAGGAAGGAACACCAGUGGCGAAGGCGACCACCUGGACUGAUACUGACACUGAGGUGCGAAAGC